rnacentral:rRNA from 1 species
UACAGAGGGUGCAAGCGUUAUUCGGAAUUAUUGGGCGUAAAGAGCGCGUAGGCGGUAUUUUAAGUGAGAUGUGCAAUCCCCGGGCUUAACUUGGGAACUGCAUCUCAUACUGGAAUGCUAGAGUGCCGGAGAGGGUGGUAGAAUUCCACGUGUAGCGGUGAAAUGCGUAGAGAUGUGGAGGAAUACCAGUGGCGAAGGCGGCCACCUGGACGGUAACUGACGCUGAGGUGCGAAAGUGUGGGUAGCAAACAGG